rnacentral:tRNA from 1 species
UAGCCUAGUGGUUAAGGCUUUGGAUCGCCUAUCCAGAGACGGCGGGUUCGAUUCCCGU